rnacentral:tRNA from 1 species
AGCGAAUUAGUUAAUUUGGCAUAACGAAGGAGUCAUAGUCCUUAGUGUAGGGUUCGAAUCCCUAAUUCGCAA